rnacentral:misc_RNA from 1 species
CCCCAAUUUCGCCUCCCUACCUGAUCCGAGGUCAACCUUAGAAUGGGCUUGUUUUACGGCGUGACCUCCCGUGGCACCCUUUAGCGAAUAGUUUCCACAACGCUGAGGGGACGAAAGACCCAGCCGGUCGAUUUGAGGCGCGCGGCGGACCGCGUCGCCCAAUACCAAGCGAGGCUUGAGUGGUGAAAUGACGCUCGAACAGGCAUGCCCCCCGGAAUACCAGGGGGCGCAA